AUCAUUCCCUAAAUUAGUCGAUGUGGGACUUUCAUCAUUUAACACAAUCGUCUAGGUUUGGAAGAAAAUGAUGAGAGGAUAAAAGAAUAAACCCAGGUGGUGUUCAAUAUAUCGAUUCAGAGCUACCAGAAACAAGAAACAAGCAAUAACCUCCACCAACAUGAGAGGUUCUCUUUCCUCCAAAUGCUAAAUCCUUGAAAUUAGGAAGAAAAACAUAUAUCUAAUUGGGGGCAGACAAAAUCACAAGAAUGGCUUCAAGCAGUUCAAAUUUGGUUCUUAUAUGGUGAUAUAGUAUUAGUUCAAACCAGACUGGCUUAGCAAUAAGUAACCAUUAACUGGCUGUUUGUUGUAAUGCAGAUCACAGAUUUUAAAUUUGUUGAUAGAAUAUCAGACUUUAUGUGACUAUAGAUGUGGAAAUUUUGCAUAUGCCGGAUGGUGAAACUUAUAUAUUGAAUCAUCGAAUUUCGAAGUUCCUCACUGAUGUGAAGCCUAUCAAUCGAACAUGGUCGUAUAUUUGGAUAAAUAGUUUUCACUGCUGCUAGACUGAAUCUUUAUAUUAAUGACAUUUCAGGCCAGAUGAACAUGUUUGCAUGGAGUUGUCUUUUAGAUGUAUAUGAGGCUGGAGUUAGGGGAGAUAGGUAGAUGUCUACAUCUACAAUAUCAUUUUUCUUGGUUUGAUUACAGCAGGCUUGAACAAGUCAUCAGUUCCUUCUUCAGAUCUUCGAUCUUGCAAUUAAAAUUCUCAGCAUCAUUUUUAUUUCCCUCCGAUGGAUCUCUAAGACAUGACAAGGAGAAGUGCAAGGAUUUAAAGAAGAUGGUGUCCUUGCAUGUGAAAGGAAGGAAGAACAGUAGCUAGGCAGAAUAGAGACUGUUGUUGAAGUAAUCAGAACUGAAACAAUUUGAUUUUCCAGUGCAGUUUACUUGAGAACAUAGUGAGGAAAAACAUCAACGAAACAUAUAUUGUUAGGAACCACGAACCUCCACAAUUCUAUGAUAUUAUCCACUUUGAGCAUA